rfam:Schistosoma curassoni strain Dakar, Senegal genome assembly, scaffold: SCTD_scaffold0007743
AUCUAGCCGACGAGUCCUAAAUAGAACGAAACAGACGUCAAGCCGGAU